rnacentral:rRNA from 1 species
AGUGAUGAAGGCCUUCGGGUCGUAAAACUCUUUUGCCUGUGAACAAGAAAGAUUCGUGAAUAACGAGUCAAUUUGAGAGUAGCAGGAGAAAAAGCACCGGCUAACUACGUGCCAGCAGCUGCGGUAAUACGUAGGGUGCAAGCAUUAAUCGGAAUUAUUGGGCGUAAAGGGCGCGUAGGCGGAUUGAUAAGUCAGAUGUGAAAUACCAAAGCUCAACUUUGGUGCUGCAUUUGAAACUGUCUCUCUAGAGGAUUGACGGAGAAAGGGGAAUUCCACGUGUAGCGGUGAAAUGCGUAGAUACGUGGAGGAACACCGGUGGCGAAAGCGCCUUUCUAGUUUAGACCUGACGCUGAGGCGCGAGAGCAAGGGGAGCAAACAGGAUUAGAUACCCUGGUAGUCCUUGUCGUAAACGAUGUUUACUUGAUGUAGUUAGGCUCAACCCUGACUGUGUCGUAGCUAACGCGAUAAGUAAACCGCCUGAGGAGUACGCUCGCAAGGGUG